CCUACGGGGGGCUGCAGUCGAGAAUCUUCCGCAAUGGGCGAAAGCCUGACGGAGCGAUGCCGCGUGAGGGAUGAAGGCCUUCGGGUUGUAAACCUCUGUCAGAGGGGACGAAGAAUGUGACGGUACCCUCAGAGGAAGCCACGGCUAACUACGUGCCAGCAGCCGCGGUAAUACGUAGGUGGCGAGCGUUAUUCGGAUUCACUGGGCGUAAAGGGUCCGUAGGGGGUCUGCCAAGUCUGAUGUGAAAUCCCGCGGCUCAACUGCGGAACGGCAUUGGAUACUGGCGGGCUGGAGUCUGCGAGGGGUGAGCGGAAUUCCUGGUGUAGCGGUGGAAUGCGUAGAUAUCAGGAAGAACACCGAUGGCGAAGGCGGCUCACUGGCGCAGUACUGACCCUGAGGGACGAAAGCGUGGGGAGCAAACAGGCUUAGAUACCCCAGUAGUC
rnacentral:rRNA from 1 species